rnacentral:rRNA from 1 species
UACGUAGGGUCCGAGCGUUGUCCGGAAUUACUGGGCGUAAAGAGCUCGUAGGUGGUUUGUCGCGUUGUUCGUGAAAACUCACAGCUCAACUGUGGGCGUGCGGGCGAUACGGGCAGACUUGAGUACUGCAGGGGAGACUGGAAUUCCUGGUGUAGCGGUGGAAUGCGCAGAUAUCGGGAGGAACACCCGUAGCGAAGGCGGCACUCUGGGCCGGUACUGACGCUGAGGAGCGAAAGCGUGGGGAGCAAACAGG